rnacentral:rRNA from 1 species
UACGUAGGAGGCAAGCGUUGUCCGGAGUUACUGGGCGUAAAGGGCCCGCAGGCGGUGGAGUAAGUUUGGAGUGACAGUUCCCAGCUUAACCGGGAAAGGACUUCGAAAACUGCUCGACUUGAGGACUGGAGAGGAAGGCGGAAUUCCGGGUGGAGCGGUGAAAUGCGUAGAGAUCGGAAAGAACACCAACGGCGAAAGCACUCUGCUGGGCCGACACUGACACUGAGAGACGAAAGCUAGGGGAGCGAAUGGG